AUUCAGAGACAUCAAAGUAAGUGU
rnacentral:siRNA from 1 species